GAUGAACGCUGGCGGCGUGCCUAAUACAUGCAAGUAGAACGCUGAAGCUUGGUGCUUGCACCGAGCGGAUGAGUUGCGAACGGGUGAGUAACGCGUAGGUAACCUGCCUGGUAGCGGGGGAUAACUAUUGGAAACGAUAGCUAAUACCGCAUAACAGUCGACAUUGCAUGAUGUUGAUUUGAAAGGGGCAAAUGCUCCACUACCAGAUGGACCUGCGUUGUAUUAGCUAGUUGGUGAGGUAACGGCUCACCAAGGCGACGAUACAUAGCCGACCUGAGAGGGUGAUCGGCCACACUGGGACUGAGACACGGCCCAGACUCCUACGGGAGGCAGCAGUAGGGAAUCUUCGGCAAUGGACGGAAGUCUGACCGAGCAACGCCGCGUGAGUGAAGAAGGUUUUCGGAUCGUAAAGCUCUGUUGUAAGAGAAGAACGAGUGUGAGAGUGGAAAGUUCACACUGUGACGGAACUACCAGAAAG
rnacentral:rRNA from 1 species